GGCUUAGAAACAUCAGAAAUUUAUUAUUCACAGUUCUGGAGGCGGGAAGUCCAAGAUCAAGGUGCCAGCAUAUUCCAUGUCUGGUAACAGCCCAUUUCCUGUAUUGCAGUCAGUCUUCUUCUCACUCUGUCCUCAAAAGCCCCUUUGAAAGAAGGGCACUAGCCUAUUCAUGGGGGUUCCACUGUGACGACCCCAUGACAUACCAAAGUCCCCACCUCCUAAUAUCGUCGCACUGGUGAUUAGGAUUUCAACACAGGAGUUUUGGGGGGAUGCAACCAUUCAGUCUACAGCAGACAGCAAGGGAGAUCCAGGGUAUGUGGAUCCUAAGAGGGAAGUUUCCCCAGCACCCAGUUCAGAUACUGAAGUCCAGUGAGCAAGUAAGAACCCUCACAAGGGCAGAUCCAGGAAAAACAGAGCAUGGAGUUUUCCCCAGAGGAUAGCCCCAGAGUCAAUGCCAGCCUGUGGAGUCAGGUGUCCUGUGGGGCUGCAUGGGGUGUGUCUCCCACUCUGUUUUGGAAUGGUGGUGUGGUGUUUGUUUCAGGGGUAAUGUGCUUGCUUGCUGGGUGGAAGAGAACAACGGCUGUCCCUCUAGGUGAUUGGUGGUAGCCUAAGAGGAGUCUUGGCCUGGGGGUCCUUUGCAUGGGCAGUGACUGGUGGGACUGUGGCUGCCCCUCUGAGGCCCAAGGGUGCUCUCUGCAUGGACAGGGGACUGUUUAGGAGGCAUGGAAGUGUCAGGCCAAGUCUUAAUGCUCCAGAGACACUUCCUUUUCCAGGAAACCUGAGCUCCCUAACAUUUUUACAUUAGGUGGAGCUGUGUCACAGGCCACAGCAAAAUCUCUCACCCUUGAUUAUUCCUUUUUCCUUUAGGCAUUGAAAUUGGAGGCCGCAUUUUUAAGGUGGUACAAAGAGGGAAAGAGUCUGGUCCCUAAAUCACUUGUUGGGUGUCCCGUGACAUGCCCUGGAUGUAAGAGUGAGAAAUAAGUGUUGCGUGGAGCUACUGAAAUUUGGUCCCUUUGUGUGUGUGGAGUGAGCCUGAGUAUACCGGUCAGUGCACUUGGCUGGGAGCUGCCAACACUGUCACAGUCUCGGCCACAGGGCAGGGACGCAGCCCGGGGACCCGCAAGUCCGAGCCUGGAGGGACAGGGGCAGUCUGCGGGCCUGUGCAGCCUGCAGGUCCAGCACGUCCUGUGUCUGAUUUCCUCGGCUGCCUCCUCACCAGCUGCCGGUCACCGUCAUCGUCUGUCAGGCACAGUCUUUCUCGCGGAGGCUAGGACGCCCGGGCCGCUGUGCGGGUGCGCGGGAUGUCAGGUGGCGGCGUUCCUCAGCGCGGAGCUGCGGGCGGAUCCCCCCUCCCAGCCCUUGGGGCCGCGCGCCCAGGCCCGGCUGUCUGCGCCUCCGUUCCCGCCUCAAAGGGGGCUGCGCGGAGCCCCUAUGCGCGCCUGGAGCCUGCGCCCGGCAACUGCGGCCUGGGAAAGCUGGGCGCUCCAGUUUCUGGUCCAGGUUUUUCCUGCUUCAAGGCUAACACUGUUCUCUAGUCCUGGAAUACCUCCUCCCCAUAAGGAACUCUGCAACCAGCACCACGCAUGUCAUCGUUUUGCCAGCCUGUCUUCCCUGCUGGGUGGAGAACCUGGGAACCCAGGGCUGUGGCUCCGGUCCGCUGCCCCGCUGCCGUGUCUGCCGUGCUGUCCUGUCGGCCCUGGAUCUUCGUUUCCUGAAUUAAUUACGUAA
ensembl:lncRNA